AAGUGACGAGAAUAUGUCAUGUGUAAUAUGCAAAAAAGGAGUUAACAGCACGGAUAUAAUUUUAGUGUGUGGAUUGUGGUGUAGAAAAUUCUUCCACAAUGACUGUGUAGGUAUCAGCAGCAGUGAAGCUCGUGCUGUAACGAGUACAAACGAGCAAAUUAAGUUUCAUUGUGAAGCCUGUGAAAAGAGGUUAGGUAUCGAACUUUUCGGCGGAAAAGAAACGCAUGGACCAAAAAAAUUUGAAAACUGCGUAAACAAUUGUGUCAAUUUAUUGGAGCUCGUACAAAGCCUUAUCAAGAUGACAAAUGAACUAUCAAACAAUAAUUCAAUAAUAAAUACAAAAUUAGAUACAGUUCUCACUUCAAAUGCACGAUUAGAAGAAUAUUUAUUACAAACGCCAAAAUGUCCUGAAAACCCAACUAAAGAAACCACUAACAAUAGCGUAGAACAUGUAGAAAAUGAGACUAUUAUACAAAUGGAAAUUCGUGAGCAAAACGAUGACACUAACUCGCAUAACCGAAGUGUAAACAGUAAACAAACGGAGUGUUGUGCGUCAGAGCUUACAAGACGGCGACAACAAAAAACUGAUGACAACAGUUCGCAGCAUAUUGCAAGUGGUUAUCCCAAUCAGUUAACCGACCGUCAACAACGAAAGGUUGCAGAGCAAUUCAGUUCAAAUUGUCUGCAGGACUGGGAGAUGCUAGAUGGACAUGGUAGUAUGCAGGAUCCACAAAACACUGACACAGAUAAGACUGCACCAGAAGAAGGUGGAAGUUCUGUUAGCAGUGAGAUGAUUGUCAAACAAGAACCAGAAUACCCACCUUCAGAAAAUUUUCCUGUGCCUAUCACAUUCAAUACUUUGAAAAUAGAGGUUGUGGAAGAUGAAGAGAAGGCAGUCAGCGAUGACUUUCAAGAGGGGUUCAACCAUGAAGUGGAGUUGACAAGUAGUGGUGCUGAACCAGGAAGUACUAGCCCCGUUGACAUGGAGGACAACAAGAUCAGUGAUGGCAGUGGCAGAUUGGUUACCAACGUCACACUGUCUAGAGGAACAUGCAACAGGAUACAACGCACUAGCCUGCAGGAAACAUCUUGUUUGAAUGAGUUUGCUAUUAGGCAUCUAAGGCAAAGAUGUGACAUCUACAGUAAGACGUUUUCACAGUUGCAGGACUUGAAGGAGGACACAGAUGUGGACAGAUGUGAAUUUCUGCUUUCCUGCAACUUGUGUCACAAAGCAUUCACAAGUAGUGGUAGUCUGAAUAAACACUUUAGAGUGCACACUGGAAAAAAUCCAUACAAGUGCAGCAUUUGCAACGAAACAUUCGUACAAUAUCAUAAACUGAAGCAGCAUUUAUUGGUGCAUAUUGGCGAACACCCAUACGUUUGUGGUGUGUGCAACAAGCCAUUCUGCCAAAAAAGUAAACUGAAGCAGCAUUCACAGAUGCACACAGGCGAACGUCCCUACAUCUGUGAAAUGUGUCAGAAGAGAUUCAGGUGCAACAGCCACCUGAAGGAACACCUGCGACAGCACACUGGGGAAAGACCAUACAGUUGCAACAUUUGUCAGAAGAAAUUCGCUUGUAAAGGUAACAUGAGCAAACACGUACUUACACAUGACAAAACAACCAUAUACACUUGAUGUGUUUCCAAAGGGACUGACAGUGAGCUGUAUGCUGGAGAAGAUUUCAAUUUUGUGUGCAGGACACUUAAGCACAGCUUCAGGAUAAUGUUCGCCCAUAUACUGCCUGUGAAACUGCUCUGCAAGACGUGCAGCAACUUUGCUGGUCAGCGCAAUCUCCAGACUUGUGUGCACUCAAGCGUGUGAGGAACAUGAUGGUAUAAAAAGUGACUCUUAUAAUUUGUCAGCUAACAACUUUUACAGAACUACGUAAACAAGUAGAGCGAGUGAUGCAUAACAUAUCUCAGGACAGUAUUCAUCAUCUGUGUUACAGAACUAUGUAGUAGAGUGGGUGAUGCAUAACAUAUCCCAGGACAGUAUUCAUCAUCAGUGUGAUCAACUGGAUGCCAGAGCCAGCGUGUGCAUUACUACCACGUGCUAAUAUGGAUGUCGCAGCAUGAGUGGAUACCUGGUACCUCAGAACUGUUUGUGCUGUUGAUCUGUAAAUUUAAUCAUUUCAUCUACUCCAUAUGCACUGUUGGAACAAUAAAUCUUGA